CACACACACACACACACACACACACAGCAGAGCUACAUACUCACAGACACUGACAGACGUAGUCUUAGACUCCCUCCAAACCGUGUGUCCAUAAGAUGUAACCUAGAUUCAGAUGAUCUACUGCUACAGCAGCACUCAGUUUCCCAGGUGAUUAGUUGUGUUAAUUGAUGAAGUCCUGUGUGAUUGAGGUCUCGUCAGUUUAACUGCCGUUACUGACACACUGGAUGUAAUCCCAUUGCAUGUAAACAGACAGGAGCCGGAGUCAAAUAACAUCAGUGUGAAUCCACUUUGAUGAACGCAUGCUGGACAACAGAAUGAAGGGAAAGGGAGAAAUGUGCUGCCUCAGCAGGUUGUAUGUGUUCAUCAUCAAUCAGUAUUAGAUGGAUUCCGUUGGGGAAGUAACGUCUACACCUCAGGCUGUCUUCACAUGUGACGUCGUUCUGCAUGCAGACUGGGGACAGAAACAUGUAACGCCUCUAUGUAACGCCAACAACUGUGUUAUGACAUUGAAAUCCCAUUGUAAUGAAAACCCAGUUUGUACGAAGCCCAUUUAAUGCAGUGCAUCCUGGUCAUUAUGUACCAGAGAGGGGUUGUUAUUCUGCUCCAUCUCUUGGAUCAUCUGGACGCGCUUGUUGAGUCAUGGAGAAAACAGAUGAGGGAUGUAUUGGUUGCCAGCUGGCUGUGACAUUGUGUUAGAGCAGGAAACACAGUGGGGAUAGGUUAGAUUUCACACCAAGUUACAUCUGUUGGUGGAAAUAUCUUAUGUACCUCCCAGUAAUUCGCUGUGUAAGAAACCACCAACGUUUCGCAAUCAGUGAUGUUUUUUACCUAAUAUAUUACUGGGAGGUUAUAUAUAUUGAGUGUGCGACACUCUGUUUUUGUAGCUUCCAGUUUAUUCUCCGUUAGUCAGCACCUCUACACUAAAUCAUUUUCUCUGGGUGCGCGCCAGCUAUUGCUUUUUAUUUGAAAUAUGUUUUGUAACAGCAGCUUCAGUAGCAGUGUUUUAGUGACUGAGUAAUAAGAAAAAGAGAAGCUUUUAGAGUUGUCGUUUUUCAUCGGGGAAGAAGCUAGUUCCCCUCGGGGAGGAAUUCUUUGGGGAAUCUGUAACCUUACACCUCUAACCGAGCACCUCAGCUGAAAGGACGAGGCAAGUGAAAGAGGAUAGCAAGAUUGAGACAGAUGGGAAAUGUGACGAAAUAGUUGUUAGUGAAAGGCAUGCCUGGACAUACAUUUUAUCAAGUUUGACAUUUUAAGACAACGUAUGGAAGAGAGGAGGAGGGAAUGUGAAAAGUAAAUGAUGCAAGAGUGAGAUAAAUGGACGGAUUAAAUUGUCUAAAGUGUUUGAAAAUACAAUGUAAAUACUGACUGAAGAGAGGCAAAAAUACUCUUACAGAGACAGGAGAGAAGACAAAACUAAGUAAAGACAGAGAGGAACAACAGGAAGCGCUUGAAUAGGGUCAUGAAAAUACGGCACAUGGUGAUGGGUGAGGGAUGAAGGAGGUUAGAGGAAGAAGAGGUCAGGAAGGAGAGAUGAGGACGUCAGGAAGGAGAAAUGAGGACGGUCAGGAAGGAGAGAUGAGGACGGUCAGGAAGGAGAGAUGAGGACGGUCAGGAAGGAGAGAUGAGGACGUCAGGAAGGAGAGAUGAGGACGGUCAGGAAGGAGAGAUGAGGAGGGUCAGGAAGGAGAGAUGAGGACAGUCAGGAAGGAGAGAUGAGGACGGUCAGGAAGGAGAGAUGAGGACGGUCAGGAAGGAGAUGAGGACGGUCAGGAAGGAGAGAUGAGGGCGGUCAGGAAGGAGAGAUGAGGACGGACAGGAAGGAGAGAUGAGGACGGUCAGGAAGGAGAGAUGAGGAUGGUCAGGAAGGAGAGAUGAGGACGGACAGGAAGGAGAGAUGAGGACGGUCAGGAAGGAGAAAUGGAGAAUGAGAAAGGAGGGGAAGGGGAUGAUGGAGGCAGAUACAUCCCAUAAUUAGCAUAGUAAUAGGAGAGUUAAAGGCCACACAAUGGGUCACUGUUGAGUCCAAGUUUUUCCAUUUGGAGACAAUGCACAAUAGAGUUGGUAUGAGCCCCAAACCACUCUAAUAGCCAGCAUGUAGCCCACCCCCCUCUAUUUUACCACCCCAGAGAACACACUCUCUAACUAAUAAAGUGGUAUUGCCUCAGGGCUUGAAGCUACAAACCAGUCCUCCCCACUCUGAACCUUUUCAUCAAGGUUAAGAGAUCCAAAUUGUGACCAUUUGUAUAGAUACUGUAAAUAGACUUUGUAUUCUGAGAGUAGAGCAGAGGAUUGAGAAGAGGAUAGAGAAGAGGAUAGAGCAGAGGAUAGAGAAGAGGAUAGAGAAGAGGAUAGAGCAGAGGAUAGAGAACAGGAAAGAGCAGAGGAUAGAGAAGAGGAUAGAGCAGAGGAUAGAGAAGAGGAAAGAUAAGAGGAUAGAGAAGAGGAUAGAGCAGGGGAUAGAGAAGAGGAAAGAUAAGAGGAUAGAGAAGAGGAUAGAGCAGGGGAUAGAGAAGAGGAAAGAUAAGAGGAUAGAGAAGAGGAUUGAGAAGAGGAUAGAGAAGAGGAUAGAGAAGAGGAUAGAGAAGAGGAUAGAGAAGAGGAUAGAGCAGAGGAUAGAGAAGAGGAAAGAUAAGAGGAUAGAGAAGAGGAUAGAGCAGGGGAUAGAGAAGAGGAAAGAUAAGAGGAUAGAGAAGAGGAUUGAGAAGAGGAUAGAGAAGAGGAUAGAGAAGAGGAUAGAGAACAGGAAAGAUAAGAGGAUAGAGAAGAGGAUAGAGCAGGGGAUAGAGAAGAGGAUAGAGAAGAGGAUAGAGAAGAGGAUAGAGCAGGGGAUAGAGAAGAGGAUAGAGAACAGGAAAGAUAAGAGGAAAGAGAAGAGGAUAGAGAAGAGGAUAGAGCAGGGGAUAGAGAAGAGGAUAGAGAACAGGAAAGAUAAGAGGAUAGAGAAGAGGAUAGAGCAGGGGAUAGAGAAGAGGAUAGAGAAGAGGAAAGAUAAGAGGAUAGAGAAGAGGAUAGAGAAGAGGAUAGAGAAGAGGAUAGAGAAGAGGAUAGAGCAGGGGAUAGAGAAGAGGAUAGAGAAGAGGAUAGAGAAGAGGAUAGAGAAGAGGAUAGAGAAGAGGAUAGAGAAGAGGAUAGAGCAGGGGAUAGAGAAGAGGAUAGAGAAGAGGAUAGAGAAGAGGAUAGAGAAGAGGAUAGAGAAGAGGAUAGAGCAGGGGAUAGAGAAGAGGAUAGAGAAGAGGAUAGAGAAGAGGAUAGAGCAGAGGAUAGAGAAGAGGAUAGAGCAGGGGAUAGAGAAGAGGAUAGAGAAUAUGAUAGAGCAGGGGAUAGAGAAGAGGAUAGAGCAGAGGAUAGGGAAGAGGAUAGAGCAGGGGAUAGAGAAGAGGAUGGAGCAGGGGGAUAGAGAAGAGUAUAGAGCAGGGGGAUAGAGAAGGGGAUAUAGAGGAGAAUAGGGAAGAGGAUAGAGCAGAGGAAAGAGAAGAGGAUAGAGAAGAGGAUAGAGAAGAGGAUAGGGAAGAGGAUAGAGAAGAGGAUAGAGAAGAGGAUAGAGCAGGGGAUAGAGAAGAGGAUGAUAGAGAAGAUGAUAGAGCAGGGGAUAGAGAAGAGGAUAGAGAAGAUGAUAGAGAAGAGGAUAGAGAAGAUCAUAGAGAAGAUGAUAGAGAAGAGGAUAGAGAAGAGGAUAGAGCAGGGGAUAGAGAAGAGGAUGAUAGAGAAGCGGAUAGAGCAGGGGAUAGAGCAGGUGGAUAGGGAAGAGAAUAGAGCAGGGGGAUAGAGAAGAGGAUAGAGCAGGAGGAUAGAGAAGAGGAUAGAGCAGGAGGAUAGAGCAGAGGAUAGAGCAGGGGGAAAGAGAAGAGGAUAGAGAAGAGGAUAGAGCAGGAUAUAUAGAAGAGGAUAGAGCAGGGGAUAUUGAAGAGGAUAGAGAAGGGGAUAUUGAAGAGGAUAGAAAGAGGAUAGAGCAGGGGAUAGAGAAUAUGAUAGAGAAGAGGAUAGAGCAGGGGGAUAGAGCAGAGGAUAGAGCAGGGGGAUAGAGAAGAGGAUAGAGCAGGAGGAUAGAGAAGAGGAUAGAGCAAGAGGAUAGAGCAGAGGGAUAUAGAAGAGGAUAUAGAAGAGGAUAGAGAAGAGGAUAGAGCAGGAUAUAUAGAAGAGGAUAGAGCAGGGGAUAUUGAAGAGGAUAGAGAAGGGGAUAUUGAAGAGGAUAGAAAGAGGAUAGAGCAGGGGAUAGAGAAUAUGAUAGAGAAGAUGAUAGAGAAGAGGAUAGAGCAGGGGAUAGAGAAGAGGAUAAAGCACGGGGACAGAGAAGAGGAUAGAGAAGAGGAUAGAGCAGGGAUAGAGAAGAGGAUAAAGCACGGGGACAGAGAAGAGGAUAGAGAAGAGGAUAGAGAAGAGGAUAGAGCAGGGGAUAGAGAAGAGAAAGCACGGGGACAGAGAAGAGGACAGAGAAGAGGAUAGAGAAGAGGAUAGAGCAGGGGAUAGAGAAGAGGAUAAAGCACGGGGACAGAGAAGAGGAUAGAGAAGAGGAUAGAGAAGAAGAUAGAGCAGGGGAUAGAGAAGAUGAUAGAGCAGUGGAUAGAGCCGGGGAUAGAGAAGAGGAUAGAGAAGAUGAUAGAGCAGAGGAUAGAGAAGUGGAUAAAGCAGGGGGACAGAGAAGCGGAUAGAGCAGGGGAUAGAGAAGAAGAUAGAGAAGAGGAUAGAGCAGAGGAUAGAGAAGAGGAUAGAGAAUAGGAUAGAGCAGGGGAUAGAGCAGAGGAUAGGGAAGAGGAUAGAGCAGGGGAUAGAGAAGUGGAUAAAGCAGGGGGACAGAGAAGCAGAUAGAGCAGAGGAUAGAGAAGAAGAUAGAGAAGAGGAUAGAGCAGAGGAUAGAGAAGAGGAUAGAGAAUAGGAUAGAGCAGGGGAUAGAGAAGAGGAUAGAGCAGAGGAUAGAGAAGAGGAUAGAGCAGGGGAUAGAGAAGAGGAUAGAGCAGGGGAUAGAGAAGAGGAUAGAGCAGAGGAUAGAGAAGAGGAUAGAGAAGAGGAUAGAGAAGAGGAUAGAGAUGAUGAUAGAGAAGAGGAUAGAGAAGAGGAUUGUGAAGAGAAUAGAGAAGAGGAUAGAGCAGGGGGAUAGAGAAGAGAAUAGAGAAGAGGAUAGAGCAGGGGGAUAUAGAAGAGGAUAGAGAAGAUGAUAGAGAAGAGAAUAGAGAAGAGGAUAGAGCAGGGGAUAGAGAAGAGGAUAGAGAAGAGGAUAGAGCAGGGG
ensembl:lncRNA